AGAUCCAGGAGCUUGCUCCUUUGACGUUAGCGGCGGACGGGUGAGUAACACGUGGAUAACCUACCUAUAAGACUGGGAUAACUUCGGGAAACCGGAGCUAAUACCGGAUAACAUAUUGAACCGCAUGGUUCAAUAGUGAAAGGCGGCUUUGCUGUCACUUAUAGAUGGAUCCGCGCCGUAUUAGCUAGUUGGUAAGGUAACGGCUUACCAAGGCAACGAUACGUAGCCGACCUGAGAGGGUGAUCGGCCACACUGGAACUGAGACACGGUCCAGACUCCUACGGGAGGCAGCAGUAGGGAAUCUUCCGCAAUGGGCGAAAGCCUGACGGAGCAACGCCGCGUGAGUGAUGAAGGUCUUCGGAUCGUAAAACUCUGUUAUCAGGGAAGAACAAAUGUGUAAGUAACUGUGCACAUCUUGACGGUACCUGAUCAGAAAGCCACGGCUAACUACGUGCCAGCAGCCGCGGUAAUACGUAGGUGGCAAGCGUUAUCCGGAAUUAUUGGGCGUAAAGCGCGCGUAGGCGGUUUUUUAAGUCUGAUGUGAAAGCCCACGGCUCAACCGUGGAGGGUCAUUGGAAACUGGAAAACUUGAGUGCAGAAGAGGAAAGUGGAAUUCCAUGUGUAGCGGUGAAAUGCGCAGAGAUAUGGAGGAACACCAGUGGCGAAGGCGACUUUCUGGUCUGUAACUGACGCUGAUGUGCGAAAGCGUGGGGAUCAAACAGGAUUAGAUACCCUGGUAGUCCACGCCGUAAACGAUGAGUGCUAAGUGNUUAGGGGGUUUCCGCCCCUUAGUGCUGCAGCUAACGCAUUAAGCACUCCGCCUGGGGAGUACGACCGCAAGGUUGAAACUCAAAGGAAUUGACGGGGACCCGCACAAGCGGUGGAGCAUGUGGUUUAAUUCGAAGCAACGCGAAGAACCUUACCAAAUCUUGACAUCCUUUGACCGCUCUAGAGAUAGAGUCUUCCCCUUCGGGGGACAAAGUGACAGGUGGUGCAUGGUUGUCGUCAGCUCGUGUCGUGAGAUGUUGGGUUAAGUCCCGCAACGAGCGCAACCCUUAAGCUUAGUUGCCAUCAUUAAGUUGGGCACUCUAAGUUGACUGCCGGUGACAAACCGGAGGAAGGUGGGGAUGACGUCAAAUCAUCAUGCCCCUUAUGAUUUGGGCUACACACGUGCUACAAUGGACAAUACAAAGGGCAGCUAAACCGCGAGGUCAAGCAAAUCCCAUAAAGUUGUUCUCAGUUCGGAUUGUAGUCUGCAACUCGACUACAUGAAGCUGGAAUCGCUAGUAAUCGUAGAUCAGCAUGCUACGGUGAAUACGUUCCCGGGUCUUGUACACACCGCCCGUCACACCACGAGAGUUUGUAACACCCGAAGCCGGUGGAGUAACCAUUUAUGGAGC
rnacentral:rRNA from 1 species